rnacentral:tRNA from 1 species
GCCCCCGUCGUCCAGAGGCCUAGGACCUCGCCCUUUCACGGCGGAAACGCGGGUUCGAAUCCCGUCGGGGGUA